rnacentral:rRNA from 1 species
AGCUUGCUGCUUUGCUGACGAGUGGCGGACGGGUGAGUAAUGUCUGGGAAACUGCCUGAUGGAGGGGGAUAACUACUGGAAACGGUGGCUAAUACCGCAUAACGUCGCAAGACCAAAGAGGGGGACCUUCGGGCCUCUUGCCAUCAGAUGUGCCCAGAUGGGAUUAGCUAGUUGGUGGGGUAACGGCUCACCAAGGCGCAUCGAUAGUCAACUGAUGCAUGUGUCGUAGCUACGAGGCAGUCGACCAGUCCACGAUGUCAGCAACUGACUGACACCGUCCAGACUCCUACGGGAAGCAGCAGUGGGGAAUAUUGCACAAUGGGCGCAAGCCUGAUGCAGCCAUGCCGCGUGUAUGAAGAAGGCCUUCGGGUUGUAAAGUACUUUCAGCGGGGAAGAAGGUGUAGUGGUUAAUACCCGCAUGCAAUUGACGUUACCCGCAGAAGAAGCACCGGCUAACUCCGUGCCAGCAGCCGCGGUAAUACGGAGGGUUGCAAGCGUUAAUCGGAAUUACUGGGCGUAAAGCGCACGCAGGCGGUAUGUUAAGUCAGAUGUGAAAUCCCCGGGCUCAACCUGGGAACUGCAUCUGAUACUGGCAGGCUAGAGUCUCGUAGAGGGGGGGUAGAAUUCCAGGUGUAGCGGUGAAAUGCGUAGAGAUCUGGAGGAAUACCGGUGGCGAAGGCGGCCCCCUGGACGAAGACUGACGCUCAGGUGCGAAAGCGUGGGGAGCAAACAGGAUUAGAUACCCUGGUAGUCCACGCCGUAAACGAUGUCGACUUGGGAGGUUGUGCCCUUGAAGCGUGGCUUCCGGAGCUAACGCGUUAAGUCGACCGCCUGGGGGAGUACGGCCGCAAGGUUAAAACUCAAAUGAAUUGACGGGGGCCCGCACAAGCGGUGGAGCAUGUGGUUUAAUUCGAUGCAACGCGAAGAACCUUACCUACUCUUGACAUCCACAGAACUCUGUCAGAGAUGCACAGGUGCCUUCGGGAACUGUGAGACAGGUGCUGCAUGGCUGUCGUCAGCUCGUGUUGUGAAAUGUUGGGUUAAGUCCCGCAACGAGCGCAACCCUUAUCCUUUGUUGCCAGCGGCUAGGCCGGGAACUCAAAGGAGACUGCCAGUGAUAAACCCGAGAAAAGAGGGAAUGAACACUCAAGUCAUCCUAUGGCCCUCACGACCAAGGCUCACACACGUGCUACAAUGGCAUAUACAAAGAGAAGCGCACCUCUGCGAGACCAGAGCGAACCUCAUAAAGAAUGUGCCUGAGAUCCGGAUUGGAGUCUGCAACUCGACUCCAUGAAGUCGGAAUCGCUAGUAAUCGUGGAUCAGAAUGCCACGGUGAAUACGUUCCCGGGCCUUGUACACACCGCCCGUCACACCAUGGGAGUGGGUUGCAAAAGAAGUAGGAAGC